rnacentral:misc_RNA from 1 species
AAGUCGUAACAAGGUUUCCGUAGGUGAACCUGCGGAAGGAUCAUUAUCGAAUAAACUUGGUGGGCUGUAGCUGGCUUUAUGAAGCAUGUGCACGCCUGCUAACUUUAUCCAUCCACCUGUGCACCCUCUGUAGUCUUGGGAGGUUGAGAGCUAGCUGAACCUUGAUAGAAAGCCUUCUUUGGCCUUUCGAAAUGGUAUUUGGGCUUGUAAUCACUUCUCUGACUAUGUUGUUACAUAUAUCACUGUGAAGCAGAAUGUAUAGUUAGGGCCUUUGCGCCUAUAAACAUCAAUACAACUUUCAGCAACGGAUCUCUUGGCUCUC